CCUGUGUGAGGAGCCGCGCGCGCGGGGCGGCUGCGGGCUGAGAGCGGGCCGGGCAGUCCUGGGACUCCUCGGUACCGGCUGGCAGCUGCGGGAGGGGUGGGCGCUGCAGGCAGGUGUUUCUGCGCUCUGCGAUCAGCUAAUCAAGUAACCGUGCACUGGGUCGCCUUGUGCAAGCUGGAGGCACGCGUGCGUCUCCGUGGAGCACGCUUUGCUAAGCAGCCUGCGGGUUACCGCCGCAGCCGUUGCCUGAGGGAGGCGGGCGUCUACGGAAAUAAAUACCCGCUGUGGAAACCGGGGGGCAGAAAGGUGACUUAGCGCGAUAGACGGCCCGUGCUAACCCUGCUUUGGUUUGCACGACACAACAGCAGCAGGCUGCAGUUCAGGCUGCCCCACUGCAUCUACACCUGGAGCAGACCACAAGGGCUCUCACCGUGCUCCCUGUCAGCACCUUGUUCUUACUGGACUCAGAAUGAUUGGGAAUAGACUUUUGCUUCUGAUUGAGGUAGAAGAGACAUGAUACAUAAAAUACCCACCGCGGGCUAGGCUAAUGAGCAGGAGCACUGCAGCACUGAAAGGACACCAUAUACGUACCAUCUGAGAUGGCUGACUCCUGGGAUAGAGGUCAGCUCUGUUGUCCUAUCUAGUUUUUCAAAGUACUCUUGCUUAUUGUUAUUAUUUAAACACACAGGCUUAAAGCCAAGCUGCUUAAGGCCACACAAUAAAUUAUUCCUUUGUCUUUAAGUUCAGCGUUUGUCUCUGAAGUGUACCCUCUGCAUGAGCCUUUUAUCUGACCGGUCACAAACCGUGGAAGGCAAAUUUGCAAACAUGCUCCAGUGACCUACUGUUAUUGCUGUAGCUGCUUACAGCAAAUCUCUUCACUGACUUCAGGAGGAACAGAACUAGACCCAAGUCUACCCUUUUCAUUUUUCCACACGUUUGCUCUCGGCGAUCUGACUGCCAAUUCUGCAUAGUUAAUUACUGAACGUGCCCUCCCC
ensembl:lncRNA